GUGGGGAAUCUUGCGCAAUGGGCGAAAGCCUGACGCAGCCAUGCCGCGUGAAUGAUGAAGGUCUUAGGAUUGUAAAAUUCUUUCACCGGGGACGAUAAUGACGGUACCCGGAGAAGAAGCCCCGGCUAACUUCGUGCCAGCAGCCGCGGUAAUACGAAGGGGGCUAGCGUUGCUCGGAAUUACUGGGCGUAAAGGGCGCGUAGGCGGACAGUUUAGUCAGAGGUGAAAGCCCAGGGCUCAACCUUGGAAUUGCCUUUGAUACUGGCUGUCUUGAGUACGGGAGAGGUGAGUGGAACUCCGAGUGUAGAGGUGAAAUUCGUAGAUAUUCGGAAGAACACCAGUGGCGAAGGCGACUCACUGGCCCGUUACUAACGCUGAGGCGCGAAAGCGUGGGGAGCAAACAGGAUUAGAAACCCGAGUAGUCC
rnacentral:rRNA from 1 species